rnacentral:tRNA from 1 species
AGGGAUGUGGCUCAGUGAUAAGAGUUUUUGUCUUGCACGCACAAGGCCCUGGGUUCAAUCUCCGGCACCAUUC